rnacentral:rRNA from 1 species
AGAGUUUGAUCCUGGCUCAGAUUGAACGCUGGCGGCAUGCCUUACACAUGCAAGUCGAACGGCAGCGGGGACUUCGGUCCGCCGGCGAGUGGCGAACGGGUGAGUAAUAUAUCGGAACGUACCUUUCAGUGGGGGAUAACGUAGCGAAAGUUACGCUAAUACCGCAUAUUCUGUGAGCGGGAAAGCAGGGGAUCGCAAGACCUUGCGCUGAUUGAGCGGCCGAUAUCAGAUUAGCUAGUUGGUGAGGUAAAGGCUCACCAAGGCGACGAUCUGUAGCGGGUCUGAGAGGAUGAUCCGCCACACUGGAACUGAGACACGGUCCAGACUCCUACGGGAGGCAGCAGUGGGGAAUUUUGGACAAUGGGGGCAACCCUGAUCCAGCCAUGCCGUGUGAGUGAAGAAGGCCUUCGGGUUGUAAAGCUCUUUCGGCCGGGAAGAAAUCGCACGGGCUAAUACCCUGUGUGGAUGACGGUACCGGAAUAAGAAGCACCGGCUAACUACGUGCCAGCAGCCGCGGUAAUACGUAGGGUGCGAGCGUUAAUCGGAAUUACUGGGCGUAAAGCGUGCGCAGGCGGUUUAGUAAGACAGGCGUGAAAUCCCCGGGCUCAACCUGGGAACUGCGCUUGUGACUGCUAAGCUAGAGUACGGCAGAGGGGGGUGGAAUUCCACGUGUAGCGGUGAAAUGCGUAGA